rnacentral:rRNA from 1 species
UCGAAAUCGAACGGAAGAACGACCCGCGAACCGUCUUUGCGUAACGAACCGAGCUCGCGAGCAGCAAACGCUCGCGCGUCUCGUGUCGCGUCGGCGCGGUCCUCGAAAGGGCCACGCCGCACCGACAAACUAACAAUGUCAGCACGGAUCGUGCCAAGGAGCUGUACAUGCGAGAGUCGCCGUCCCACGCCCCCGGUCCCCCUCGACUGGGGGCGGGUGACAUGCGCGAUCUCCGCUCUUAGUCUUAAUGACUCUCGGCAACGGAUAUCUCGGCUCUUGCAUCGAUGAAGAACAUAGCGAAAUGCGAUACUUGGUGUGAAUUGCAGAAUCCCGCGAACCAUCAAUUCUUUGAACGCAAGUUGCGCCCGAAGCCAUCCGGCCGAGGGCACGCCUGCCUGGGUGUCGUGAAUCCCCUUGCCCCCGGGCACCCGCACGAGCAUCGUCGCGGAUAUGCCCGGGCGCAGAAUAUGGUCUCCCGUCGGAUCGGCGUGCGCUGCACGUCGUGGGGCGGUUGGCCGAAAAUCGAGCAUUGCGACGUCGGGCUCCACGGCGUUCGGUGGAUCGAACGCGAUUGGCUGCGCCGUGGUCCCGUCAUGCCGCGGGCUCCGGACUACGACGAUUCCCGUG